rnacentral:rRNA from 1 species
UGUGAACUCGAAGAGUAGGGCGGGACACGUGGUAUCCUGUCUGAAUAUGGGGGGACCAUCCUCCAAGGCUAAAUACUCCUGACUGACCGAUAGUGAACCAGUACCGUGAGGGAAAGGCGAAAAGAACCCCGGCGAGGGGAGUGAAAAAGAACCUGAAACCGUGUACGUACAAGCAGUGGGAGCACCUUCGGGUGUGACUGCGUACCUUUUGUAUAAUGGGUCAGCGACUUAUAUUCUGUAGCAAGGUUAACCGUAUAGGGGAGCCGCAGGGAAACCGAGUCUUAACUGGGCGUUAAGUUGCAGGGUAUAGACCCGAAACCCGGUGAUCUAGCCAUGGGCAGGUUGAAGGUUGGGUAACACUAACUGGAGGACCGAACCGACUAAUGUUGAAAAAUUAGCGGAUGACUUGUGGCUGGGGGUGAAAGGCCAAUCAAACCGGGAGAUAGCUGGUUCUCCCCGAAAGCUAUUUAGGUAGCGCCUCGUGAACUCAUCUUCGGGGGUAGAGCACUGUUUCGGCUAGGGGGUCAUCCCGACUUACCAACCCGAUGCAAACUACGAAUACCGAAGAAUGUUAUCACGGGAGACACACGGCGGGUGCUAACGUCCGUCGUGAAGAGGGAAACAACCCAGACCGCCAGCUAAGGUCCCAAAGUCAUGGUUAAGUGGGAAACGAUGUGGGAAGGCACAGACAGCCAGGAUGUUGGCUUAGAAGCAGCCAUCAUUUAAAGAAAGCGUAAUAGCUCACUGGUCGAGUCGGCCUGCGCGGAAGAUGUAACGGGGCUAAACCAUGCACCGAAGCUGCGGCAGCGACACUAUGUGUUGUUGGGUAGGGGAGCGUUCUGUAAGCCUGCGAAGGUGUGCUGUGAGGCAUGCUGGAGGUAUCAGAAGUGCGAAUGCUGACAUAAGUAACGAUAAAGCGGGUGAAAAGCCCGCUCGCCGGAAGACCAAGGGUUCCUGUCCAACGUUAAUCGGGGCAGGGUGAGUCGACCCCUAAGGCGAGGCCGAAAGGCGUAGUCGAUGGGAAACAGGUUAAUAUUCCUGUACUUGGUGUUACUGCGAAGGGGGGACGGAGAAGGCUAUGUUAGCCGGGCGACGGUUGUCCCGGUUUAAGCAUGUAGGCUGGUUG